rnacentral:lncRNA from 1 species
ACUCUUCAUUUCUUCACUCGGUCUUCGCGCCAAACACUUCUUCUUCCUCUUGUUGCUGUGAUCAAGAAAGGUUCUUUAUUUCUCUCUACAGCACUGAAAAUCUUGCUCCUAAUUUGAUGGCUCCCAAAAAGAAGUCGANCUGCAUUUUGCGGGUAGCCCUACCCGCGGGUACCCGAAUUUACAGCCCUACCCUGAGAGUACCAAUUCCAUGUUUAUUUGGCCUUCUCUGUAUCGGGACUCUUAUUUCAAUGAUAACAGAAUUAUUUCCUUUACUAUUAUUGAAAUUGGGUGGUUAUUCAAUUCUUGGACCCAAUAUUAUCAAUCAAUGGGCUUUUAUUAUUCGGAGGAGAGUCAAGGCCCACUUGUUGCUUAUUUAUUUCAUCGGCCCAAGAUGUUUAUUUAUUGGAGGAGAGUCAAGGCCCACUUUUCAGUUUUUAGCAGGCUCCAAAGCUUUUUUUUUUGUUUGGCCCACUUCACUAAUUUGACCACUAUGAAGUGUAUUCUAGAAGGAGACCCUUCAUUUCUUCACUCGGUCUUCGCGCCAAACACUUCUUCUUCCUCUUGUUGCUGUGAUCAAGAAAGGUUCUUUAUUUCUCUCUACAGCACUGAAAAUCUUGCUCCUAAUUUGAUGGCUCCCAAAAAGAAGUCAACCACCAGUUCAUCUCUCUCUGGUGCUCCUCUAGCUUCUCAAUAUGUUCAAAGGAUUCGUGCCGAACGACAAGCUGCUCUAAAAGCUCAUUCCGAUGUUGGUGAAUCGGACUCUGAUCCUAAAAAUGUUUCUUCUCUCAAAGAUAUUGUCACUGAUUCAUCUCCGAAUCCAAAGAAAAGGUCAUUGAAGGGUUCGAAUCCUGCAGCCAAAAAGGGGAAAACUGAAACCAGCAGUCUAAAGGUUUCAAUGUCUGGCUCAAAUCGUGAGCGUCGUUUCACAGCCAAACAGAAAGAGAAGGAACCCAUCUCUUCUCCCUCUCCGGUACACUCUGACUCUCAUUUCUUGGUAUGCUUGAUGAAGAUUUGGCUCCCCUAAUCACAAGAAAUUGUGGGAUAUCUUUCGUGUGAAACAAGUUAUUGAUGAAUGCUAUUUGGAUCCUCAUGAUGCUGAUGAUACUGAUGUCAUGUCUAUUCUCACUGAAUCACAG